rnacentral:rRNA from 1 species
CUGGCUCAGGACGAACGCUGGCGGCGUGCCUAAUACAUGCAAGCCGAACGGUCUUUCUAUGGAAGCUUGCUUCCACUGAGAAGAUAGUGGCGAACGGGUGAGUAACACGUGGGUAACCUGCCCAUAAGAGGGGGAUAACAUCCGGAAACGGGUGCUAAUACCGCAUAGUUUUCUUGAUCGCAUGAUCGGGAAAGGAAAGACGGCCUUUGUGCUGUCGCUUAUGGAUGGACCCGCGGCGUAUUAGUUAGUUGGUGAGGUAACGGCUCACCAAGACGAUGAUACGUAGCCGACCUGAGAGGGUGAUCGGCCACAUUGGGACUGAGACACGGCCCAAACUCCUACGGGAGGCAGCAGUAGGGAAUCUUCCGCAAUGGACGAAAGUCUGACGGAGCAACGCCGCGUGAGUGAAAGAAGGUUUUCGGAUCGUAAAACUCUGUUGUCAGAGAAGAACAAGUUGGAGAGUAACUGCUCCAGCCUUGACGGUAUCUGACCAGAAAGCCACGGCUAACUACGUGCCAGCCGCCGC